UACGUAGGGCGCAAGCGUUGUCCGGAAUUAUUGGGCGUAAAGAGCUCGUAGGCGGCUUGUCACGUCGGGUGUGAAAGCCCGGGGCUUAACCCCGGGUCUGCAUUCGAUACGGGCUAGCUAGAGUGUGGUAGGGGAGAUCGGAAUUCCUGGUGUAGCGGUGAAAUGCGCAGAUAUCGGGAGGAACACCGGUGGCGAAGGCGGUUCUCUGGGCCUGUACUGACGCUGAGGAGCGAAAGCGUGGGGAGCGAACAGG
rnacentral:rRNA from 1 species